ACACGCAUGACACACUGCAUAUCAAUAAGCGGAGGAAAAGAAACUAACAAGGAUUCCCUUAGUAACGGCGAGUGAAGCGGGAAGAGCUCAAAUUUGAAAUCUUCAAGGUUCUACCUUGACGAAUUGUAGUUUAUAGAAGUGUUUUCUGUUAGUAGAGUGGCAAAAGUUCUUUGGAAUAGGACAUCAUAGAGGGUGAGAAUCCCGUAUUUGGUCAUUCUUUCUAGCUUUGUGAUACACUUUCAACGAGUCGGAUUGUUUGGGAAUGCAGUCCAAAAUGGGUGGUAAAUUUCAUCUAAAGCUAAAUACUGGCGAGAGACCGAUAGCGAACAAGUACCGUGAGGGAAAGAUGAAAAGAACUUUGAAAAGAGAGUUAAACAGUACGUGAAAUUGUCAAAAGGGAAGCGUUUGACACCAGUGUUGUUUUCUCGAAAAUCAAUUAAAAAUGGCGGGAUUUUGUGUUGUAUUGACUUUAUCAGCUUUCUGCACUUUUUUCCUGUCUUUUUUAAUGCACUUUUCGUUUAACAAGUCAACAUCAGUUUCUUUUGUUGUAAAAAGGUCAUUGGAAGGUGGCUUUCUUUUCGGAGAAAGUGUUUAUAGCCUUUGAUCUCUGCAACCGGAGAGACUGAGGUCUGCAGCGUAGACUCUUCGGGGUUAAAUACAUUUGUGCUAAGCUAUAGCUUUUUAUAGACAACUUGUUGACUAUAUUUAGUCUUGUGGCUUACUCGCUUAUGCUAUUUUACCUACGCUUAGGAUGUUGAGCGCAUGUCUCUCUCU
rnacentral:rRNA from 1 species